UACGGAGGGUGCAAGAAUUAAUCGGAUUUAUUGGGCGUAAAGGGCGCGUGGGCGGAGAUGUAAGUCAGAUGUGAAAUUCCAGAGCUCAACUCUGGAGCUGCAUUUGAAACUACAUCCCUAGAGGGUAGACGGCGAAAGUAGAAUUCCAUGUGUAGCGGUGAAAUGCGUAGAUAUAUGGAAGAAUAUCGGUGGCGAAGGCGCCUUUCGAGUUUAUACCUGACGCUGAGGCGUGACAGCACGGGGAGCAAACAGG
rnacentral:rRNA from 1 species